GCUGGGGCUGCGCUGGGUUGCGCAGGGGACGGCGCGGGGCGGGAGCUCGGUCCGGGCGGCCAUGGAGACUCUGCCCAGCGGGCUGAUGUGUCUACGGGCCUUGUGCUAAAGAGUGUUAAAGUGAAGUGAAACCAGUGAGCUGGGGUGGACUGCUUCCAUGGAGCCAGCGGAUCGGUGUACAUUGCAGGUGUCCAGUAGCUAAGGGACCAGGCACUCAACUGUAGCAAAGUGAAUCCAGUGGGAGAUACAUGUCUCUAAGCCAAAGCGGUUUCUCCAUACUUGAAGACUCUGAUACACCAGGGAGCUGGAAGACAGCACAGAGACGUUUAUACGCUGCUGUAGUGUCAGCUACUGGCACAGUUGCCACUUGUCCAUUGAACUUGUGUACAAAAGUUCUAAUAAAAACAACACCGAGAGAGACUGCUAACAACCAACACACUAGAAAAUGAGAAGAUUCACUCAAGUCUCACUGAAGCAAAACAGCCCUCCAGAGAGAAUGACAAUUACUGAGGCACCUUAACA